GUGGGGAAUCUUCCGCAAUGGACGAAAGUCUGACGGAGCAACGCCGCGUGAGUGAAGAAGGUUUUCGGAUCGUAAAGCUCUUUCGUCAGGGACGAACGUAUUUCUUGUAAAUAAUGAGAGAUAGUGACGGUACCUGAAUAAGAAGCCACGGCUAACUACGUGCCAGCAGCCGCGGUAAUACGUAGGUGGCAAGCGUUGUCCGGAAUUAUUGGGCGUAAAGCGCGCGCAGGCGGGAUAUCAAGUCUGUCUUAAAAGUGCGAGGCUCAACCUCGUGAGGGGACAGAAACUGGUAUUCUUGAGUGUCGGAGAGGAAAGUGGAAUUCCAAGUGUAGCGGUGAAAUGCGUAGAGAUUUGGAAGAACACCAGUGGCGAAGGCGACUUUCUGGACGAUGUCUGACGCUGAGGCGCGAAAGCUAGGGGAGCGAACGGGAUUAGAAACCCUGGUAGUCC
rnacentral:rRNA from 1 species